AACGUAGGAGACGAACGUUAUCCGGAGUUACUGGGCGUAAAGGGCGUGUAGGCGGUUUGUUAAGUCUGGCGUGAAAGCUCUCGGCUAAACCGGGAGAGGUCGUUGGAUACUGGCGAACUAGAGGAUGGUAGAGGCGUGUGGAAUUCCAGGUGUAGUGGUGAAAUUCGUAGAUAUUCGGAAGAACACCAGUGGCGAAGGCGGCUCACUGGCCCGGUACUGACGCUGAGAUACGAAAGCGUGGGGAGCAAACAGG
rnacentral:rRNA from 1 species